rnacentral:rRNA from 1 species
CCCCGCACAAGCAGCGGAGCGUGUGGUUUAAUUCGAUGUUACACGAAGAACCUUACCAGGGUUUGACAUGCAAGUGGUAGGAAGCCGAAAGGUGACCGACCCUUCGGGGAGCUUGCACAGGUGCUGCAUGGCUGUCGUCAGCUCGUGUCGUGAGAUGUUCGGUUAAGUCCGCUAACGAGCGCAACCCUCGCUGCGUGUUAUAUGUGUCACACGGGACUGCCGGUCUUAAGCCGGAGGAAGGUGGGGAUGACGUCAAGUCCUCAUGGCCCUUAUGGGUAGGGCUUCACACGUCAUACAAUGGUCGGUACAGAGGGUUGCCAACCCGCGAGGGGGAGCUAAUCCCACAAAGCCGAUCGUAGUCCGGAUCGCAGUCUGCAACUCGACUGCGUGAAGUCGGAAUCGCUAGUAAUCGUGGAUCAGCAUGUCACGGUGAAUACGUUCCCGGGUCUU